CGGGUGGUAAUGCCGGAUGCUCCAUCUCAUCGCAUGGUGUUUUGGGAAAGCCUUUGCGGCAUGGGAUGGGGUCGCGUCCUAUCAGCUUGAUGGCGGGGUAACGGCCCACCAUGGCUUCGACGGGUAGCCGGCCUGAGAGGGCGACCGGCCACAUUGGGACUGAGAUACGGCCCAGACUCCUACGGGAGGCAGCAGUGGGGAAUAUUGCACAAUGGGCGCAAGCCUGAUGCAGCGACGCCGCGUGAGGGAUGGAGGCCUUCGGGUUGUAAACCUCUUUUGUUAGGGAGCAAGGCAUUUUGUGUUGAGUGUACCUUUCGAAUAAGCACCGGCUAACUACGUGCCAGCAGCCGCGGUAAUACGUAGGGUGCAAGCGUUAUCCGGAAUUAUUGGGCGUAAAGGGCUCGUAGGCGGUUCGUCGCGUCCGGUGUGAAAGUCCAUCGCUUAACGGUGGAUCCGCGCCGGGUACGGGCGGGCUUGAGUGCGGUAGGGGAGACUGGAAUUCCCGGUGUAACGGUGGAAUGUGUAGAUAUCG
rnacentral:rRNA from 1 species